rnacentral:lncRNA from 1 species
AAGGGAGGAAGUGUUUGCGUGCACAAAGGCGCCAUUUUACAUAGGGUGUUAAGGGACACCUUCUAAAGAUAAAUAGGGGCAGGGGUCGCCGAUGUAUGGGGAAAAGCUUUCCGAGGAGAGCAAACACCAAGGGCAGAGUCCUGGGGAGGGUAAGCAUGCUUGGAAUAUUUAAGGAUCCAGACGGAUUCCACGGGGGUGCAGCCAAGUGGGCUGUGGGAGGAGAAGGACAUAAGGUCAGUGAUGCACCAGGGGCACACCUGUCGUCUUGCAGGACUUGGUACUGAAACAGCCUUCAUUACUUAGAGACCAUAGCUUUUUUGCAAGUUACUAUUCCCUGCAUUUAGAAAGUUCAUCUUUAAACAGGCAAUUCAGUAAGUAAAUAUUCUAUGGCUCUAAAACAGAU